UACGAAGGGGACUAGCGUUGUUCGGAAUCACUGGGCGUAAAGCGCACGUAGGCGGAUCAUUUAGUCAGGGGUGAAAUCCCGGGGCUCAACCUCGGAACUGCCUUUGAUACUGAUGGUCUCGAGUCCGAUAGAGGUGGGUAGAAUUCCUAGUGUAGAGGUGAAAUUCGUAGAUAUUAGGAAGAAUACCGGUGGCGAAGGCGGCCCACUGGAUCGGUACUGACGCUGAGGUGCGAAAGCGUGGGGAGCAAACAGG
rnacentral:rRNA from 3 species